AUUCAAAUAGCUUAUAUUUAGAGCAUAAUAUUGAAGAUGUUAGGGAGUUUUAGGACUUUGAAUA
rnacentral:tRNA from 1 species